rfam:Salmo salar isolate Sally breed double haploid chromosome ssa03, whole genome shotgun sequence.
UCCCAUGUGGCUCAAUUGGUAGAGCAUGGUGUUUGCAACGCCAGGGUUGUGGGUUCGAUUCCCACGGGGGAC